rnacentral:lncRNA from 1 species
CGCUAGCUGUCCUCGACGUAGGCGUUGAGAGGAAUACGCAUUUGGACGAGCCUUCGCGCAUUACGGGGGGGAGUGUUGGUAGCGCCCCGUCGAUGAAGAGUGAGUCGAUAUCCCCACAUGACUCAAUUUUGACAUGUACCACACCCGAUGCCAUCGAGGGGAUUGCAGAAACGUGAAUAAUAAUAAGAAACAAAAAUAAAACCAUCAUUCCACCAAAUAGCAACAAGUUUACAUGAAAGUUUAAGUAAUAGGAGUUGAAUUACGUGCCCUAAAUUAAUUAUUUUACAAUUAUAAUAGCCAAUAUCAGUUAGAAUUAUCUACCUGCAGUGCAAUACUGGUUCAGAGUGCUCUAAAGCACCGGUUUAGUUUUAGCGUGAAUUUGUAUUGAACUAGGUGCGAUAUAUGGCAGUAUGUUUGGAAGAAAUCAUAAGCUUAUAUUUGCUCUUUAUAUCUAUGAUUAGGUGAAAAACAGGGAAAUCUGGUCGGUAAGCAUUCCGUAGUUGUCGAAAACGUUAUCCGAGCAAGUGCGACUCAGAGGGGUUCACAAUCGUCGCGAAAAGGAGCAUUGUUGCGAAGGAAUAUUCCGAGGCUAGAUCGCUAAAAGAAUUUUAUAAUUUAUCAAUUACGCCGAAUAAAUUUAUUGAAUUUGAAUCUAGUUCCUCGCUGCUCUCGCAACAUCC